UAAAUUUUCAACGAUGGAUAUCUAGGCUCCAAUAACGAUGAAGAACGCAGCGAAGUGCGAUAAGCAAUGCGAAUUGCAGAACCGCGAGUCAUCAGAUUUUUGAACGCAAGUGGCGGCUGCCUCGGCAGUCAUGUUUGUUUCAGUGUGUCCGGUUAAUUACAUCAAAGAAUAUAAUGUGAUUGAAGAAAUUCUCUCACAAAAUAUGGAAUAGUGUCAAUGAAGACUCCAAACGAAAUAGUCACUAAAUGGUGAUAGUCGUUUGAGGAUCGGAAUUGGUGAAUCAUUAUUCAAAAACAAAUUAUCCAAAUAUGGCACCUGAAAUAAGCAAGAGUACCCGCUGAACUUAAGCAUAUCAGUAAGCGGAGGAAAAGAAAAUAACAAUGAUUACCUUAGUAGCGGCGAGUGAAUAGGUAAAAGCCCAAGAUGUUAAUCUGCUAUAAAGUAGUAGAAUUGUAAUCUAUGGAGUAGCUCGGAAGGUUGAGACUCAUCAUAAGUGCCUUGGAAAAGGACGCCAGAGAAGGUGAAAGCCCUGUCUUAGGAUGAGUCGAGGCGAUACGAGAUAUUUCUAAGAGUCGGGUAGUUUGGGAAUGCUGCCCUAAUUGGGAGGUAAACUUCUCCUAAGGCUAAAUAUUUAUUGGAGACCGAUAGCAUACAAGUACUGCGAAGGAAAGAUGAAAAGAACUUUGAAAAGAGGGUUAAAAGACUUGAAAUCGUUGAAAAGGAAGCGAUAGAAGAGAAAUGAUUCCCUGUCAAGUAGUCAAUUGAGCUAAGUUACGCGGUGGAGAAUAUCUAACAGAGUUCUUGCCGUGGAAUGAAAAUCAAGUGGCAGUUGGCAGGAGAAAGGCAAGAUGAGGUGGGGUUGCAAGAAUAAGGUGAAGAGUGUAUUCUCAAACCAAAAGUUGCAAUCCUGCCUGAGGGAUCAGAUGAUGAUCUUGCCAAAAUGGCUUUUAUCGACCCGUCUUGAAACACGGACCAAGGAGUCUACCUAUUAUGCGAGUGUUAAGGUGGAGAAACCUAAACGCGUACCGAAAGGGAUGUAAGAUGUGAGGCGCAAGCUGCAACAUCAACCAAUCUUGACUCUAUGAGGAAGGACUUGAGUAAGAGCAUAAUCGGUAGGACCCGAAAGAUGGUGAACUACGGUUGAAUAGGGUGAAGCCAGGGGAAACUCUGGUGGAGGCUCGAAGCGGUACUGACGUGCAAAUCGUUCGUCAAAUUUGACUGUAGGGGCGAAAGACUAAUCGAACCAUCUAGUAGCUGGUUCCCUCUGAAAUUUCUCUCAGGAUAGCAGGAACAGAUCAUGCAGUUUUAUCAGGUAAAGCUAAUGAUUAGUGGACUCGGGGGCCCCGUGCCCUUGACCAAUUCUCAAACUUUAAAUUGGUAAGAACUUCGAGUUAUCUUAAUUGAACUCGGAGAAGGAAUGCGUUGUUCUUAGUGGGCCAUUUUUGGUAAGCAGAACUGGCGAUGAGGGAUGAACCUAACGUCGAGCUAAGGUGCCCAAAUUCACGCUCAUCAGACACCAUAAAAGGUGUUGGUUAGUAUAAACAGCCGGACUGUGGCCAUGGAAGUCGGCACCAGCUAAGGAGUGUGUAACAACUCACCAGCCGAAUUAACCAGCCCUGAAAAUUGAUGGCGCUAAGCGUGAUACCGAUACUCGACCAACAGGGCAAAUAGAAGCCUUGUUGAGUAAGAGGGCGUGAACAUUGUGUAGAAGGCUUGGACGUGAGUCUGGCUGGAACAAUGUUUAGUGCAGAUCUUGGUGGUAGUAGCAAAUAUUCAAAUGAGAACUUUGAAGACCGAAGUGGAGAAGGGUUCCAUGAGAACAGCAUUUGAUCAUGGGUUACUCGAUCCUAAGACAUAGGGAAAUUCCUUGUAAUAUAUGGGUUCUUACGAAUCCGUUGUCAAAAGGGAAUGAGGUUGAUAUUCCUCAAGCUGAAUACGGAGGUUUCGUGGCAACACAAACAAGCUUGGAGACAUCGGCGUGUGCAACUGGAAGAGUUCUCUUUUCUUCUUAACAAUCUAUCUCCCUGAAUGGAUUAUCCAAAGCUAGGGAUGUACGGUUGGCAGAGCAGUUCACCAUCGAACUGUCAGUGAUGCUCAUGACGAUCCUUGAAAAUCCAAGUACGGUGAUCCUUUCGUAUCAGGUCGUACCCAUAACCGCAUCAGGUCUCCAAGGUUAGCAGCCUCUGGUCGAUAGAAUAACGUAGAUAAGGGAAUUCGGCAAAUUAGAUCCGUAACUUCGGGAAAAGGAUUGGCUCUGAGGAUUGGGUGUUUAGACCCCUACUUGGACAGUGGAAUUGAGCUAGGACUUGCCGCAAGGCAGGACCUAGUUUUGUGAAGCUAGAAUUGUAGGGAGUUCUUGCACAAGUAACAAUCGACUCGGAACUGAAGCGGACAAGGAGAAUCCGACUGUUUAAUAAAAACAUAGCGUUGUGAUGGCGUGAAAACGUGUUGACACAACGUGAUUUCUGCCCAGUGCUUUGAAUGUGAAUAUGAAGUAAUUUGUAGAAGCUCAGGUAAACGGCGGGAGUAACUAUGACUCUCUUUAAGUUUAAAAUUAAAUUUAUGCCUUCAAGUAUUGGGAAACCUUAAUCAUGUACAAAAAAUGAUUGUUAAAAAGCUUAUCAAUCUUUUAAAAAAGAUUGUUAAUCGUCAUAUAAGGGUGCAUAUUAACAAUGUUGGACCAAACAAUUGAAAAAUAUGACAAACAAACAAUAUAAGAUUGCUUACAAAGGCAAAGAUGAUAAAACUCAUUACUUUAAACCAAGAGUUCAUCGAAUGUGGUUUUACCAUUAUACCUAGUAAGAAGACAAUCUUAUUGACAAAGUUUAGGAUCACAAAAAUUACACUGCUUCUCACCUCUGUCACGACAACUAGUGUUAUAAUCCUAAACACAUUUGUUUGGAGCACCUGAUGAUUAACCAAUCUAGAAACUAUUGCCAAGGCCCAACUUUUUGUUUACAUAAACCUAAAUGUUUGGUUUAAGGAAAUUCCUUUAAAGAGAUUUCCUUAAACAAAAUGCAAACUUUUGGAUGGAAAGAUACAAAAAUGG
rnacentral:rRNA from 1 species